AGUGAACGUUGGCGGCGUGGAUUAGGCAUGCGAGUCGAGCGAGAACCGUAGCAAUACGGGGACAGCGGCGAAAGGGACAGUGAUGUGUAGGUACCUACCCCGAGGUCUGGGAUAGCUGCGGGAAACUGCAGGUAAUACCGGAUAAUGUCUUCGGACCAAAGGUGUGAUUCCACCUUGGGAGGGGCCUGCAUCCUAUUAGCUUGUUGGCGGGGUAACGGCCCACCAAGGCGACGAUGGGUAGCGGGUGUGAGAGCACGACCCGCGUCAUUGGGACUGAGGCACUGCCCAGCCGCCUACGGGUGGCUGCAGUGUGGGAUCUUCGGCAAUGGGCGCAAGCCUGACCGAGCGACGCCGCGUGCGGGAUGAAGGCCUUCGGGUUGUAAACCGCUGUCGUAGAGGAGGAAAUGCAGGGGGGUUCUCCCUUCUGUUUGACCUAUUCUAGGAGGAAGGACGGGCUCAGUUCGUGCCAGCAGCCGCCGUAA
rnacentral:rRNA from 1 species